rnacentral:rRNA from 1 species
AUUGAACGCUGGCGGCAGGCCUAACACAUGCAAGUCGAGCGGAUGAAGGGAGCUUGCUCCUGGAUUCAGCGGCGGACGGGUGAGUAAUGCCUAGGAAUCUGCCUGGUAGUGGGGGAUAACGUCCGGAAACGUGCGCUAAUACCGCAUACGUCCUGAGGGAGAAAGUGGGGGAUCUUCGGACCUCACGCUAUCAGAUGAGCCUAGGUCGGAUUAGCUAGUUGGUUGGGUAAAUGCCUACCAAGGCGACGAUCCGUAACUGGUCUGAGAGGAUGAUCAGUCACACUGGAACUGAGACACGGUCCAGACUCCUACGGGAGGCAGCAGUGGGGAAUAUUGGACAAUGGGAGAAAGCCUGAUCCAGACAUGCCGCGUGUGUGAAGAAGGUCUUCGGAUUGUAAAGCACUUUAAGUUGGGAGGAAGGGAAGUAAGUUAAUACCUUGCUGUUUUGACGUUACCAACAGAAUAAGCACCGGCUAACUUCGUG